GGCUCAGUAGCUCAGUUGGUAGAGCAAAGGACUGAAAAUCCUUGUGUCGGCGGUUCGAUUCCGUCCUGAGCCAUCA
rnacentral:tRNA from 1 species